CAGGCGAAGAAGGACGUGAUAAGCUGCGAAAAGCUUCGGGUAGGUGCAAAUGACCAUUGAUCCGGAGAUUUCCGAAUGGGACAACCCGGCAGGCUGAAGGCCUGUCAUCCAACGAAUGUUGGAGGCAAACGUGGGGAACUGAAACAUCUUAGUACCCAUAGGAAGAGAAAAUAAAAAUGAUUCCCCAAGUAGUGGCGAGCGAACGGGGAAGAGCCCAAACCCGCCCUGUUGAGGCAGGACGGGGGUUGUAGGGCCGCGAAAUCGUAGUAAGAGGGUGAGUGGAAGCGGUUGGAAAUCCGCCCCGCAGAUGGUGACAGGCCAGUACACGAAGCCCGACGACACGUAGCGGAACCCUGAGUAGCGCGGGACACGUGAAAUCCUGUGUGAAGCAGGCGGGCCCAUCCGCCAAGGCUAAAUACUCGCAAGAGACCGAUAGCGAACCAGUACCGUGAGGGAAAGGUGAAAAGCACCGCGUGCAGCGGAGUGAAAAAGUUCCUGAAACCGUACGCCUACAAGCGGUCGGAGCAUCUUAGUGAUGUGACGGCGUGCCUUUUGCAUAAUGAACCUACGAGUUGCCUUCUCCGGCAAGGUUAAGUACUAGGAGGUACGUAGCCGAAGCGAAAGCGAGUCUUAACAGGGCGUUGAGUCGGAGGUGGCAGACGCGAAACCAAGUGAUCUACCCUUGUCCAGGUUGAAGUCCGGGUAACACCGGAUGGAGGACCGAACCAAUAAGCGUUGAAAAGCUUCUGGAUGAGGUGAGGGUAGGAGUGAAAGGCCAAUCAAACUUGGAGAUAGCUCGUACUCCCCGAAAUGCAUUUAGGUGCAGCCCCGGGAGUUUCCUGUGUGAGGUAGAGCGACUGAUCGGAUGCGAGGGCUUCACCGCCUAUCAAGUCCGGACAAACUCCGAAUGCGCGCAGGUAAGAUUCCGGGAGUGAGGGCGCGGGUGCUAAGGUCCACGCCCGAGAGGAGAAGAAUCCAGACCGCCGGCUAAGGCCCCGAAAUAUGGGUUAAGUUAAACUAACGAAGUGCGGUCCCGGUGACAGCUAGGAUGUUGGCUUGGAAGCAGCCAUUCAUUCAAAGAGUGCGUAACAGCUCACUAGUCGAGGGACUGUGCAUGGAUAAUAAUCGGGUAUGAAACCCAUUGCCGAAGCCGCGGGACACGAAGAGUGUCGGUAGGGGAGCAUUGCAUGCGCCUUGAAGGUAGGGGGACGACCCCUGCUGGAGCGCAUGGAAAAGCAAAUGUAGGUAUAAGUAACGAUAAAGAGCGUGAGAUGCGCUCUCGCCGAAAGACCAAGGUUUCCCGGGCAACGUUAAUCGACCCGGGGUCAGUCGGGACCUAAGGAUAAGCCGAAAGGCGAGGCCGAUGGCAGAAACGGUUAAUAUUCCGUUACUGGCGUAUGGGGCGAUUGCGGCGACGGAGGAGUGAAACUUCCGCGGACCGACGGAAUGGUCCGUUAAAGAGUGUAGACGUAGAGAGAGGCAGGCAAAUCCACCUUUCGAGUCGAACUUGACAGUACAUGAAGCCUUCGGGCGGAUUGAUAGCGAAGGUAAUCAUACUCCCGAGAAAACCCGCUAAGCAUAACCCAUGCGGCACCCGUACCGUAAACGGACACACGUAGUUGGGUAGAAAAUACUGAGGCGCUUGGAAGAUUCACGGUUAAGGAACUAGGCAAACUGACCCCGUAACUUCGGGAAAAGGGGUCCUCACGUGAGUGAGGCGCAGAGAAUAGGUCCAGGCAACUGUUUAACAAAAACACAGGGCUGUGCGAAAUCGCAAGAUGAAGUAUACAGCCUGACACCUGCCCGGUGCCGGAAGGUUAAGAGGAGAUGUCACCGCAAGGGAAGCAUUGAAUUGAAGCCCCGGUAAACGGCGGCCGUAACAAUAACGGUCCUAAGGUAGCGAAAUUCCUUGUCGGGUAAGUUCCGACCUGCACGAAUGGUGUAAUGAUCCGGACACUGUCUCAACCGUGAUUCCAGUGAAAUUGUAGUAUCGGUGAAGAUGCCGAUUACCCGCGAUGGGACGAAAAGACCCCGUGAACCUUUACUGCAGCUUAACGUUGUGACCGGGCAGCGGAUGUGUAGGAUAGGCCGGAGGCUAUGAA
rnacentral:rRNA from 1 species